rnacentral:rRNA from 1 species
GAUGAACGCUGGCGGCGUGCUUAACACAUGCAAGUCGAACGGUGAACACGGAGCUUUCUCUGUUGGAUCAGUGGCGAACGGGUGAGUAACACGUGAGCAACCUGCCCCUGACUCUGGGAUAAGCGCUGGAAACGGCGUCUAAUACUGGAUAUGUGCCGUGAUCGCAUGGUCUGCGUCUGGAAAGAACUUCGGUUGGGGAUGGGCUCGCGGCCUAUCAGCUUGUUGGUGAGGUAAUGGCUCACCAAGGCGUCGACGGGUAGCCGGCCUGAGAGGGUGACCGGCCACACUGGGACUGAGAGACGGACCAGACUCCUACGGGAGGCAGCAGUGGGGAAUAUUGCACAAUGGGCGCAAGCCUGAUGCAGCAACGCCGCGUGAGGGAUGACGGCCUUCGGGUUGUAAACCGCUUUUAGCAGGGAAGAAGCGAAAGUGACGGUACCUGCAGAAAAAGCGCCGGCUAACUACGUG